CAACCCGCCAUAUUCAAGAGCCCUCAUCGAAAGCAUGAAGGAGAUCUGACUGAUGGCUUGGGGUCGCGGUGGUCCGCUACACCUGAAUCACACCAUCGAAGUCGUUCGAACCCGGCAUGUGCUCGAGUAGGGGUCGUCGGGUACACUGAGUGUGUCCAGGACCUCUUCGUGCAAGCUCGAUGAUCGGAGAGCUCGUCGCCAUGAAAACUGAGAUGGAUCGCCGCCGUGAAUCUAUGCCUGGCGUGGUAGGGUUCCGUCGCGCCCUAGACUCCGGUCAAGAACAGGUACCACAAGAUGAGGCGCAUGGAGGAUGUUGUGACAUGUUCGUGCGAGGUCUAGGCCGUCGUCUCCCAAUCAACUUUGGGUUGCUGGAUCAUUGUCUCCUCAUGAUGUAAUGAUUUAUUUAUUUUGUACAGAACUCCUAUUAUAUAGUAAAGAUGUGACAUUCGUUUC